CUCGUAGGCGGUCUGUCAAGUCGGAUGUGAAAUCCCCGGGCUCAACCUGGGAACUGCAUUCGAAACUGGCAGGCUAGAGUCUUGUAGAGGGGGGUUAGAAUUCCAGGUGUAGCGGUGAAAUGCGUAGAGAUCUGGAGGAAUACCGGUGGCGAAGGCGGCCCCCUGGACAAAGACUGACGCUCAGGUGCGAAAGCGUGGGGAGCAAACA
rnacentral:rRNA from 1 species